GAUGAACGCUAGCUACAGGCUUAACACAUGCAAGUCGAGGGGCAGCAUGGUCUUAGCUUGCUAAGGCCGAUGGCGACCGGCGCACGGGUGAGUAACACGUAUCCAACCUGCCGUCUACUCUUGGACAGCCUUCUGAAAGGAAGAUUAAUACAAGAUGGCAUCAUGAGUUCACAUGUUCACAUGAUUAAAGGUAUUCCGGCAGACGAUGGGGAUGCGUUCCAUUAGAUAGUAGGCGGGGUAACGGCCCACCUAGUCUUCGAUGGAUAGGGGUUCUGAGAGGAAGGUACCCCACAUUGGAACUGAGACACGGUCCAAACUCCUACGGGAGGCAGCAGUGAGGAAUAUUGGUCAAUGGGCGAGAGCCUGAACCAGCCAAGUAGCGUGAAGGAUGACUGCCCUAUGGGUUGUAAACUUCUUUUAUAAAGGAAUAAAGUCGUGUAUGUAUACCCGUUUGCAUGUACUUUAUGAAUAAGGAUCGGCUAACUCCGUG
rnacentral:rRNA from 1 species